CGGGUGAGUAACACGUGGGCAAUCUGCCCUGCACUCUGGGACAAGCCCUGGAAACGGGGUCUAAUACCGGAUACGACACACGGAGGCAUCUCCUGUGUGUGGAAAGCUCCGGCGGUGCAGGAUGAGCCCGCGGCCUAUCAGCUUGUUGGUGGGGUGAUGGCCUACCAAGGCGACGACGGGUAGCCGGCCUGAGAGGGCGACCGGCCACACUGGGACUGAGACACGGCCCAGACUCCUACGGGAGGCAGCAGUGGGGAAUAUUGCACAAUGGGCGCAAGCCUGAUGCAGCGACGCCGCGUGAGGGAUGACGGCCUUCGGGUUGUAAACCUCUUUCAGCAGGGAAGAAGCGCAAGUGACGGUACCUGCAGAAGAAGCACCGGCUAACUACGUGCCAGCAGCCGCGGUAAUACGUAGGGUGCGAGCGUUGUCCGGAAUUAUUGGGCGUAAAGAGCUCGUAGGCGGCUUGUCACGUCGGAUGUGAAAGCCCGGGGCUUAACCCCGGGUCUGCAUUCGAUACGGGCAGGCUAGAGUUCGGUAGGGGAGAUCGGAAUUCCUGGUGUAGCGGUGAAAUGCGCAGAUAUCAGGAGGAACACCGGUGGCGAAGGCGGAUCUCUGGGCCGAUACUGACGCUGAGGAGCGAAAGCGUGGGGAGCGAACAGGAUUAGAUACCCUGGUAGUCCACGCCGUAAACGUUGGGAAC
rnacentral:rRNA from 1 species